rnacentral:rRNA from 1 species
CCUACGGGAGGCAGCAGUGGGGAAUAUUGCACAAUGGGGGAAACCCUGAUGCAGCGACGCCGCGUGAAGGAAGAAGUAUUUCGGUAUGUAAACUUCUAUCAGCAGGGAAGAAAAUGACGGUACCUGACUAAGAAGCCCCGGCUAACUACGUGCCAGCAGCCGCGGUAAUACGUAGGUGGCAAGCGUUGUCCGGAUUUACUGGGUGUAAAGGGCGUGUAGCCGGGCUGACAAGUCAGAUGUGAAAUUCCGGGGCUCAACCCCGGACCUGCAUUUGAAACUGUUGGUCUUGAGUAUCGGAGAGGCAGGCGGAAUUCCUAGUGUAGCGGUGAAAUGCGUAGAUAUUAGGAGGAACACCAGUGGCGAAGGCGGCCUGCUGGACGACAACUGACGGUGAGGCGCGAAAGCGUGGGGAGCAAACAGGAUUAGAUACCCGAGUAGUC